rnacentral:rRNA from 1 species
GAUGGAGCGACGCGCGUGAUUGAUGAAGUCCCUUUGGGACGUAAAGAUCUUUAUGAGGGAAGAAGUUUAUUGACUGUACCUCAUGAAUAAGAGGCUCCUAAUCUCGUGCCAGCAGGAGCGGUAAUACGAGAGCCUCGAGCGUUAUCCGGAAUUAUUGGGCGUAAAGGGUGUGUAGGUUGUUCUGUUAGUCUUUUGUCAAAGACCCGAGCUUAACUUGGGAAGGGCGAAGGAUACGGCAGAACUGGAAAGUGCGAGAGGCGUACGGAACUCAUGGUGUAGGGGUGAAAUCCGUUGAUAUCAUGGGGAACACCAAAAGCGAAAGCAGUACGCUAGCGCAUAUUUGACACUGAAACACGAAAGCGUGGGUAGCGAAUGGGAUUAGAUACCCCAGUAGUCCACGCCCUAAACGAUGAUCUCUCGCUAUUCGGAGUAUCGACCCUCUGAGUGGCUUAGCUAACGCGUUAAGAGAUUCGCCUGGGAAGUACGGCCGCAAGGCUA